rnacentral:rRNA from 1 species
UACGGAGGGUGCGAGCGUUGUCCGGAAUCACUGGGCGUAAAGGGCGCGUAGGUGGCCUGUGGAAGUCUGCGGUGAAAGCCCGGCGCUCAACGCCGGGUCGGCCGUGGAUACUCUCGGGCUCGAGCUUACUAGAGGCAGAUGGAAUUCCGGGUGUAGCGGUGGAAUGCGUAGAGAUCCGGAAGAACACCGGUGGCGAAGGCGGUCUGCUGGGGUAAUGCUGGACACUGAUGCGCGACAGCGUG